GUGUUAUCUCGGCGCACGGGUGCGUAACGCGUGGGAAUCUGCCCCUUGGUUCGGAAUAACAGUUAGAAAUGACUGCUAAUACCGGAGAACGACGUAAGUCCAAAGAUUUAUCGCCGAGGGAUGAGCCCGCGUAGGAUUAGCUAGUUGGUGUGGUAAAGGCGCACCAAGGCGACGAUCCUUAGCUGGUCUGAGAGGAUGAUCAGCCACACUGGGACUGAGACACGGCCCAGACUCCUACGGGAGGCAGCAGUAGGGAAUAUUGUGCAAUGGAGGAAACUCUGACGCAGCGACGCCGCGUGAGCGAUGAAGGCCUUCGGGUCGUAAAGCUCUGUUGCAGGGGAAUAAUAAAGUGAAUGUACCCUGUGAGGAAGGAUCGGCUAACUUCGUGCCAGCAGCCGCGGUAAU
rnacentral:rRNA from 1 species